rnacentral:ribozyme from 1 species
GAUAGGUAAGUAAGUAACGUAUGGAUCCGAAGCCUCUUCCGGAGGCUAACAAAGGCUCGCCAUACCCUACUACAUCUCAACAGUUCCCGGCGUACAGAACGGUAACAUGUCUCUCAAAAUAUCUGAGCUUGAGUAUACGGGGAAACCCAACCCCUUGGGAAGAUCGUUUGGUUAGGACGGA